rnacentral:rRNA from 1 species
UACGUAGGCAGCAAACGUUGUUCGGAAUUACUGGGCGUAAAGAGUGUGUAGGCGGUUGGGUAAGUUUGGUGUGAAAUCUCCCGGCUUAACUGGGAGGGUGCGCCGAAAACUGCCUGACUUGAGUACUGGAGAGGAUAGCGGAAUUCCUGGUGUAGCGGUGAAAUGCGUAGAUAUCAGGAGGAACACCUGCGGUGUAGGCGGCUGUCUGGACAGUAACUGACGCUGAGACACGAAAGCGUGGGGAGCAAACAGG